GACGAACGCUGGCGGCGUGCUUAACACAUGCCAGUCGAACGGAAAGGCCCUGCUUUUGUGGGGUGCUCGAGUGGCGAACGGGUGAGUAACACGUGAGUAACCUGCCCUUGACUUUGGGAUAACUUCAGGAAACUGGGGCUAAUACCGGAUAGGAGCUCCUGCUGCAUGGUGGGGGUUGGAAAGUUUCGGCGGUUGGGGAUGGACUCGCGGCUUAUCAGCUUGUUGGUGGGGUAGUGGCUUACCAAGGCUUUGACGGGUAGCCGGCCUGAGAGGGUGACCGGCCACAUUGGGACUGCGAUACGGCCCAGACUCCUACGGGAGGCAGCAGUGGGGGAUAUUGCACAAUGGGCGGAAGCCUGAUGCAGCAACGCCGCGUGCGGGAUGACGGCCUUCGGGUUGUAAACCGCUUUCGCCUGUGACGAAGCGUGAGUGACGGUAAUGGGUAAAGAAGCACCGGCUAACUACGUG
rnacentral:rRNA from 1 species